AGACUAACAACUAGACUGAUCCUUUGUGUGGAGCAGCGAACGCUUUCCAAGCGACUGGACCAGUUCUCUUCAGCAUUCCACAGGAAGCAGGAGAAAGGCAAGGUUAAGGGGGCAUUCCGAGGGUCAGAACGGGUUAAAUUUAGUUAACAUCAGAGGUUAUAGCUUUUAACAAGGAGUUUGAAGGAAACUUAUUUGAAGAUGCAAUUUGUUUCUUCUUUGUCAAUCAUUUUCCUCCCCUGAAUCUCUAUUGAUAGUGACAGCUUAACAAAGUUUUUAUACGCUGGCUCCCCCCCAAGUCCCCACCCGCCGACCAGCAUCCUUUAUGCAGGAUAAAGGGGCUGGAAUGCUCAGAAAGAGAUGCAGGUGGAAAACGACUUUAUAAAGCUUCCAUGAUUUUGAAAUUGAGGGUUGAAAGUAGGUCCCCUGCUUGGCUAAGUCAAAAUUAAUUUGUAGAUGUUAAGAAGACGGACACAUUAUUGGCAGAAGAGGGAGCUGCCGGCGGCAGGCUGUUCUAUGGGCCGCAUUUUAACAGCCUGGUCUUUGUGUAGGGGGGUCUCUCCACAUACAUAUCCCACUCUCCACGGAGAGGGAACUCAGUGAAAUCAUCUAUAUUAUGGUUACCAGAUUUUUUUCAGUGAAUCUGGGGAGACUUUUUUUUUGGAAGCUGAGCAGCAAUAGGGAGUUAGUAGUGGUGGGGAUGGUGAGGCAAAAGACCCUGGGCCAAGCACAUAUGCAUAUUGUAUAAAGGUGCAAAGCCCUUCUUUUGCACGCUGUGAAACAUAAAUGCGCAGAGUUUUUUAAAAACUGGGCAACGGAGCGCCGCCUGUCCGUGACUCCCAAGCCUUCCCCGAUCUCCUGCCCCCUUCCCCCUUUGUUUUGACAGAUUGGGGGAGGCUCGGGAGUCACAGGUGGGCGGCCGUUGCCCAGGAGGGGCGCAAGGAGCGCAGUUUCUCUGCCAGGCAAGGUGCAAAGCCCUUCUUUUGCACCCUGUGAAACAUAAAUGCGCAGAGUUUUUUUUUAAAAAAACUGGGCAACGCCAGCCCGCCCGAGACUCCUGAGCCUCCCCCGAUCUGUCAAAACAAAGCAGGAAGAGGGCAAGAGAUCUGUACCGCUGGACAUUCCUGGUUCCCUUUCGGCAGUGGCUGCAGCAGUGAGCAGCUCCUGAAGCCAGCCAGAGCUACCAGGCUGGCUCCAGGCUACUGAGGCUGCCACUGCCACGUUUCCCAGGGACAGAUUUGCAAAUCUGGGGACAUUCCGGGGACGAAAUUUGUCCGGGGGCAGAUUUGCAAAUCCAGGGACUGUUCCUGGGAACCGGGGAUGUCUGGUAACCCUAAUCUAUAUGGGAUUCCUGUUGGUGGUUUAUUUUGUGGGGAGCUACUUAGCAUAGAAACAAAGCACAUGUAGCUGAGAGGUUGUGAUGCUACAAAAUGUGCCACCCGAAUAUUCCUCGACUGGCUCCUUUUGUCUUUCCAAAAUGUAAAAAUUCUGGGUAGGCUGUUCUAGAAAGCACAGUUUAGCACAUUGUUUUAAAAGGAGUUAUUAAAGUAAAAUCCUUUGAUUUAGUCGCAUUAGAGCCAGCGUUGUGUAGUGGUUAGAGGGCUGGACUAGGACCUGGGAAACAAGGAUUCAGGUCCCUACCCAGCCAUGAAGCUCACCAGGUGACUUUGGGCCUCUCACACACGCUCUCAUUAUAGCAUGGUUUUCGUGAGGACAAAAGGAGGAGGAGGAGGAAACCCUGGAGCUCCUUGGAGGAACGGUGGGAUAUAAAUGUAAUAGUAAAUACCUAAAAUAAAACAUAAGAAAAAGCUUUUGCAGGUUAGAGUAACAAUUCGUGGUGCUGACGUACCACCCCACUCCUCCUGCAUUGGGCAUCCCAUUUUACCACCACCCCACUGCCCAUCUUUAUAUGAAGACAUAUUAUUUAAUGAAAGCCAUGCCUAGAAUGCCUUUCCCUUGCAACUUUAACAACAGCACCCUCCACCUCAGACAACCCGAGAUGCGUAAUUAGGGAGCGUGCCACGGAGGCUGCAGUGCACCAUGAGGUUUAACCCUUCCUUCCCUAGCUUGAUCCCAAUUAAAAGCAUCCUCCCGCUGCUGAUGUUUGCUUAAGAACAGGAACCAGUGGGGAAUUAGGACUGAAUAAGAGCCUGCUGGCUCAAGCCAGUGACCCAUCUAGUCCAGCAUCCAAACCUGAGUGCAGUAGCAUCCCUCUCCUUACCUGUGGCUCCCUCCAACUGGCCUUCAGAGACACACUGCCUCCGACAAUGGAUGAAGAACAUAGCCAUCGUGACUAGUCGCCAUGGAUAGCAUUAGCCUCUAAAAAUUUGCCUAAUCCUCUUUUAAGGUCAUCCAAGUUGUUUUCUGCUGCUCCAGAGAAGCGGACACGGAGCAAUGGAUCCAAACUACAAGAAAGAAGAUUCCACCUAAACAUUAGGAAGAACUUCCUGACAGUAAGAGCUGUUCGACAGUGGAAUUUGCUGCCAAGGAGUGUGGUGGAGUCUCCUUCUUUGGAGGUCUUUAAGCAGAGGCUUGACAACCAUAUGUCAGGAGUGCUCUGAUGGUGUUUCCUGCUUGGCAGGGGGUUGGACUUGAUGGCCCUUGUGGUCUCUUCCAACUCUAUGAUUCUAUGAUUCUAAGUUGGUUGCCAUCACUCCUUCCAUGGUUUCUUCAGUAAAUUCCAUAGUUGAAUUAUAUGCUGUGUUGAAAAGUUCAAUUUUUGAACUUUGAAGGCAGUCCUGUUUAGGGAAGUUUCCAACAUUUGAUGUUUUAUCGUGUUUUUAAUAUUCUGUUGGGAGCCGCCCAGAGUGGUUGGGGAAACCCAGCCAGAUGGGUGGGGUAUAAAUAAUAAACUAUCAUUAUUAUUCAUCUUAAACUCACAAUAUUGAGCUUCACUGGAUGUCCACAAGUGUUAGGGUUUAUGAGAGAGGGAGGGGGAAAAUAUAUGUGUCCACUUUCUCCACGUAUUACAUAAUUUUAUACACCUCUACAGUCUCCUCUUGCUCACCCUUUCGCUGAACUGAAAAGUCCCAAAUACUGCAACGUUUCCUCAUGGGGAAGUGGCUCCAUCCCAUUCAUCAUUUUGGUAUCCCCUUUUGGAACCUUUUCCAACCCCACAAUAACCUUUUUGAGACGAGGUGACCAUAGCCAAACCAAGUAUUCCAAGUGUGGCUGCACCAUAGGUGUGUAUAAUAGCAUUCUGAUAUUGACAGGUUUGUUUUCAACUCCUUUCCGCAUGAUGCCUAGCAUGAAAUUUGCCUUUCUCACAUCACUCUGGGUCGUCAUCUACUCUAAGGUUUUGUCUGUCACUGCCAGUUCAGACCCCAUAAGCGCAUAUGUGAAAUUAAGAUUUUCUGCACCAAUGUGUAUCACAGGUUUACAUUACAUUUGCCUUUUUACUGCCCAUUCACUCAAUUUGGAGAGGUCCUUUGGAGAGCUCUUCACUAUCUCUUUUUGUUUUAUUCACCCUGAACAAUUUGGUAUCAUCAAACUUGACUACAUUACUGCUCACUCUAAACCAUUUAGGAACAAUUUUAAAAGUGCAUGUUCCAGUACUGAACCUUGGAGGAUCAGUUAGAGCAGAUCCUUGGAGCUACUUUCGACACCCCUGCAUUGGGAGAACUUUCCAUUUAUUCCAUUUAUUCCCACGAGUUACUGAUCCAUAAGGGGACCUCUCAUCUUAUUCCAUGACUGAGAAGCUUACUCAGGAGCCUUUAGUGAGGUACUUUGUCAAAAGCCUUUUGACAGCAAGUAUACACUCUAUAGGCAAAUCACUUCUAUCUACAUGUUUGUUGACACUCUGAAAGAACUCUGACCGGUUAGGGAGAGAAGACUUACUCUUGCAGGGCAUCUGUAAGGCAUGUCCUAACUGUCGAAAGCCUAACAGCUCAGCCAUUUUCACACUGCAUGGGGCAUCCAACAGGGUCAAAGUUGGUGCUGGGGAAUGUGGUCUCCUCCUCCAUGCAAAGAGAACCGAUGCACUUACAGUAAGGUACCUUUCCUGAGACCCACCUGGAGCUAAUUCUGCCUCUGUACAUAUCAACAUGAUGUUACGCCCUGGUGUAAACCUGUUGACUACAAAAUACACGGGUUUGUGUCUCACAUGCCCUCCAAGGGUUCAAGGCGAUGUAUAAGAGGGAGGUAGUGAUGUAUGGAAGUGAGAGCUGGACCAUAAAGAAGGCUGAUCGCCGAAGAAUUGAUGCUUUUGAAUUAUGGUGUUGGAGGAGACUCUUGAGAGCCCCAUGGACUGCAAGGAGAUCAAACCUCUCCAUUCUUAAGGAAAUCAGCCCUGAGUGCUCACUGGAAGGACAGAUCCUGAAGCUGAGGCUCCAAUACUUUGGCCACCUCAUGAGAAGAGAAGACUCCCUGGGAAAGACCCUGAUGUUGGGAAAGAUUGAGGGCACAAGGAGAAGGGGACGACAGAGGGCGAGAUGGUUGGAUAGUGUUCUCGAAGCUACGAACAUAAGUUUGACCAAACUGCGGGAGGCAGUGGAAGACAGGAGUGCCUGGCGUGCUCUGGUCCAUGGGGUCACAAAGAGUCGGACACAACUAAACAACAACAAUUCCAUUUUAUCUUCACAACACCCCUAUGAGGUAGGCUAGGCUGCGAGAGAGUUAACUGGCCCAGAGUCAUCCAGUGAGCUUCAUGGUUUGGUGGUGAUUUAAGCCCAGGUCUCCCUAAUCCAUCCAACACUCUUAUCACAUUGGAUCAGGAUACACUCGGGUGUAUUUGGCUCAUUUAUUUAGAAAGGGGAAGGGGGAAUGCCUGUUACAUUUUCUAACAAACUCCUCUCGCCCCCUCCCUCCUUGCUCUCACACAUCUAUUAUGAGAAAUGUCCAGGAUCAGGUAAUAGCUGCCUUAGGUAACAGAUGAUAUUAUGUUAAUGAAGAGUGGGAUAAAUGCUGUGGCAGAUUUGCAUAUAAUGAUCACGGCCAUAGCCUUUCCUGAAGUGCAUAUCCCAGUGUGGCUGCCCCCAAACAACAGACCUUUUCCGUACCAGCCAUAAAACUCGGGGAAGAGUCUGUUAGAGAGACAGAACGGCAUUUUCUAAUUUCUGUCCUACAUUUAACGGUGCUACUGUUGCGGCUCCGAAGGCAUCAAGUAAUUACGAGCAUGAGAGUGGUUACACAAAUGAAAUAUGCGGUAUAAUGUGGCUGUGACAGAAACGGGUAUUCGGCUUGCAACAAGCAUGCCCAGUUAUAAUCAAUCUGUCGCAUCUUGUCUAUAGAGAAAGAAAGCAGGGAGGACACACAGAAUUGGGCCUAGGUGUUGGGGCAUCUCACACGGGAUGCUUGUCUUUAUGCCCCCUUCCUUUAAACAUGUUACUCUGAAAGCUGUGCACAUGACGCAGACCUGAGACUUGGUCAGUGACGCAAAGAAACUUUAAUCCCAGCCAGUGGGAUUAAAACCCAUCCUUUUCAUUGUAGAACUAACACAUGAGGAGCAAAUUGAGAACAGUGGUGGUAAUAAUAAUAAUAAUAAUAAUAAUAAUAAAAUAAAAUAAAAAUUUAUUUGUACCCCGCCCUUCCCGGUUCAAAAACCGGGCUCAGGGCGGCUAACAACAAAUUUAAAACACUUUAGAACACUUAAUUAUAAAAGCUGCAUAAAAUACGGUAUAAAAACAUGAAUAACAAUAAAAUUCAAGAAUCAAAAAUCAAGUAGAUAAUCCCCCGGGCUAGCUGGCUGAAUUGGUCCUGCUUGGGCCAGCGAGGAGGCCAGGGGAGAAUUAGCUGUGGGGUCUCAGAGCGGGUGAUCUUCAUAAAAGGGGAGGGGGAGGGAAGAGAAGAGAAGGGAAAUAAAAGAUCAGGCUGAAUUCAAAUUAAAGGCCAGGCGGAAUAGCUCUGUCUUACAGUCCCGACGGAAGGAGGUUAAAUCCUGCAGGGCCCUAGUCUCAUGGGACAGAGCAUUCCACCAGGUCGGAGCCAUCACUGAAAAGGCCCUGGCCCUGGGGGAGGAUAGUCUGACUUCCUUAGGGCCCAGGACCUCUAAACUAUGGUUAUGCAUGGACCUUAAGGUCCUUUGUGGGGCAUACCAGGAGAGGCGGUCCUGUAAAUAUUCUCCCGUAGAGAACCAAAUGCAGCCCUCUGAGCCUCUCUACCUGGUACUUGAGACUCUCUCCCUGUUCCACCCCUUCCCCACCCUCUCCCCAGGCCAUACCUCUCACAAGCCCUGCUUUGCAGCCUGCUGUAGUGCUUUUUCCUGGCUGGAAUGGGCCCUUGGCCCUUUUGCUUGCUUGGCUGGAGAAUCGAGAAGUAAACAUUUGACCACCUACUUUUGCUCCUGGCCCCACCUUCUGCUGGUUGGCAGCUCCCUGAAGGUGGCCCAGAAGGCAGUGUGGCCCUUGCCCCCCCCAUUCCGACUCAGAACAUAGUCGUUCAAAGAUAUUUUCACUGGCGCGGUAGUAAACAGUGUCCCCAAAUUUCAGGCACCUACAGUCUAGAGCGGGGUUUCCAAAAUGCGGGUCUCCAGCUGUUUUUUGGACUACAACUAGCAAGACCAGCAGUCAGGGAUGAUGGUAAUUGUAGUCUGAAAACAGCUGGAGACCCAAAUUUGGGAAACGCUGAUCUAGAGGUCCCCCGCUACACAAAAAGCGCCCAAAAUAUUCCCUAAAUGUCCAACAGACUCUCUAUAUAUGGGGCAUUUUUCACCCUAGCCAAUGCAACAUGCUGAGGUAAAAAAGUUUCCAGCUAAACUGAUUGAGAAGAGCAGAUUUAAAAGCCUGGGAUAAAAAAAAAGUCCCAAGAAAUAUGAAGUGUUGUUAGUUUGCCUGCUGCCUUACUGCUUGUUCUGAGGUGAGAUUUGAAGGAAGGCAGAGCAGUAUCACCCAAUAGGGAAUCCAAGCAUAAAGGGCAGCCAAGGAGAAUAGGUGGAGUCAUGAAAAUGGACAGGAAAUUUUGGGAGGAUGAAGGCAGGGACUGACACAACCACGGCCUGUAGUGUUGUGCUGAAAUCUUUUGAAAGGUAGGAGCUUGGGCACUGUGCUUCUGCUGCAGAGUUGGCACUUAGAAGAGAGAAGCAUAUACAGUUUUACGCAGUGCUAUUUUUCUAGAAAAAUAAUUCACCAUGACUGCCUCCCUUGUUCUCUUAAGAAUGGCAAUGGCGCCCACCUGAGAGGUGGUGGAACGUGAGUUCCAGCUGAAAAAAGCCCUGGUUUUUAUGGGGGUAUAGGAAAGAGCUAGGAAAGCCAGGUUCUGUCAGUGGACCUGGUGAGGACUAACUUCCAUUUGGUUCCCCCCCCCCCCUUUCUGCAACCGUUUCUCAUGGUUUCUCCACCGUUUCUCCACCGGGAUAUUCUGUAACUUUAUCAUUGAACAUUACAAUACUCCAAAAGGGCUGUAGGUUUGAAAAACCAACAGUAGCCUCUGGAGAGCUCCUCUGCUGCCUUGUCGGUUUACCUAGUCUCCUACUGAGGGCGGCCUUCUUUAUUUCCCACAGUGCCCCAAAGAAUACGACUACAUUUUGGGGGCAGGGUAAUGUGUUAUAUUAAAAUCGAGGUUCUCUGACUCAACCACUAUGAUGGAUGGCAUGUGCUGAUGUUGGGCCUGACAGUCUGAAAGUGUUUUAUUUAUAUGUUUAUUGCUCCAUUCCGUUCAUGAAUCACUUCCUAUGAGACAUCCUGAAGUGACAAACAACAACAAAAUACACGAUCAACACUGGAAACGUAUAUGAAACAAUUUCAUAUAUAAAAGCAAUUAAAGAAGGUAUGGGUUAGGGUAUUUUUUUUGUAUAUGUUCAUAUAAUGUCCCCCCUUUACACAGUUGUGUGUUCUCUUCCCCCCUUUUUUGUAUCAUUUUACUUCUUUAUAUUUGAAAAAAUUUCAAUAAAAUAUAUUUUUAAAAAGUUUUUAAAAAACAAUUUCAUACAUAAAAGCAAUUUCAAAUUUGAGACAGCUGCUGACUGGGAUAAAAACCUCCACUUAAAAGGCUUGUUGGAAAAGAAAGGCCUUCAACAGGUGCUGAAAAGAUAAUAGAAACCAUGCCUGUCUGAUUUGUAAUAGGAGGCAGUUCCAAGGGGCAGGUUCUGCCACACUAAAAGCCCUAUUCCUACAUGUAUGGAAGAGACUUCCUGAUGAGAUCCUAUCUUUAGGGGACCCCACCCCUGGCAAAGCACAGUGAUCCAUUGUUUAUAUAUCGGGUGAGACAAUCUCGAGUUGGUUUCCAAAUAUGUUUAUUUUCCCCCUCUUCCUUUUAUUCCUUAUCUAUUAAACUGUAAGCCAUUAUUUUAAACUGUGAACUGCCUUGAUCAUAUUUAUAUGAAAGCAGCCUCUAGUAAAAAUAAAAUAAAAUAAAGGCAUACAUAAUAGCUGGACCCAAAGGUCUACUUUAGACUUGCCGGAGGGCUCGGGAGCACACCCAAUCAGAUUUUUGAACUUUUCAUGUUAUUGAAGCAGCACACUGCUCUUCAGCUUUUUGUCACUUGAAGCAAUUAAGUCUACAUGAUGGCUAUAACUGAUAUUUUAUUCUUUUUCUAUUAAAAAAGGAGAAAGAAAUAUCAGUUAUAACCAUCAUGUAGACUUAAUUGUUUAAGUGACAAAGUCAAGUUCUGCCCUCCCACACGGCUGAAGUUUUAUUCUUUUUCUAACUUCAGCAAUGUGGGAGAGUAGAGCUUGACUCAGUUUUACCAAUGGAUUUUGGGUUUUCUCCGUUGGUUGGGUUACAAUUGAUAGGAAAGAAAUUGUAACAUUUAUAUUGAGUUCAGCUUUCUGAAAGCCGCCCCCCCCCCAUACACACACUUUCCCAAUUCCACACGCUUAUGCCUCUGGUGGCAGUAAUUAGCUCAAUGUGCUAAUGAGGACCCUUGGAGGAAAGACUGACAGGACUAAUUAGUGGGUGAAUUUCACUUUAAUAAAUGUAUGGGCAAUUUUCUAAAUGCAGAUGGCCCAGUCCAUCCUGGUGGGAGUUCUGCCCAGAGCCACUUCAUAUGGUAAGUGUCUGAGAGAAGUGGUUAAUUGGUAAAAUGCUACAUGAUACUGAUUAGAAGAGAGCUAAUGGCUGCCUUUGCUUCCCAAUGUAUUAUUCAUUGCCAGACAAUGUGAAAACCUCGUAUCCUUCAAGAGGUCCACCACAGCCAGGUAUUUUCAGCAAAUUGGAUGGGGGUUACGAGAAGCACCUACCUGUGCUGUGACAAGAGCUCAAGUCAUGGAUUUCUUGCCCCAAAAGAGACUUCCGUGUUGGAAGCAGCAUGGAACACACAUGCGUUCAUGUUCCUGUGGACAUACACAUGUCCUGGGAAGCCAUGGCCAGCCAAAGCUUACAAAACACACCUUCUGAGCCAACAAAGUGCCACUUUAUGCUGAGUCAAAGCAAUGGUUCGUGUUGCCCAAUGCAGCCUUUCCUGGUGGGUUGCAUCUCACCAGCAUCUCAAGCAAAAGCUCUUUCCAGAGAUUGUUCUAACUAGAGAACCUGGGGUUGUAUCUGUCACCUUCCACAUGCAUUCAGUGCUAAAGCAAUGGGCUCUUUCCCUUCAUAGGUAGGUAAGUAGAUUUGAAAAUAUAUUUUUUUCAUUUUCACAACAACCAAAUACAUUGGUUCGUAAGUUGACUUCCCACCCUCAUUUCUCAAAUCCUGCCCACGAAUUCGUUUGACUGUAAUAUUCUUUUAAAUAGUCCACGAAAGGCCUCCAUUCUUCUCUUAAAAGUUCGUCAUUCUGAUCUCUUAAUUUCGCUGUCAGCUUUGCCAUUUCUGCCAUAGUCCAUGACUUUCAAAAGCCACUCCUCCUUCUCCUUCGUUGGAACCUUCUCUUCUUUCCAUUUCUGUGCAUGUACUAUUCUAGAUGCUGUUGUCACAUACAUAAAUAGUUUGGGCAUCUUCUUUGGCACACCUGUCCCUAGUAUACCUAUAAGAAAGGCUUCUGGUCUUUGGGGAAUAGACAACUUUUAUUCUAGCUUUUGCCUUUCAUGACUUGGAAUUUGUUACUUAGCCAAUAUGUACCAGUAACUGUACUGAUUGUCUAUGUGCCCAUGUUAUGGUUUUCAUAAAAUCAUAGAACUGAAGAGAUGGAAGGGACCCUGAAGGUCAUCCACACCAACCCCCUGCAAUUGCAGGAAUAUUUUUUCAUCUUUAAAUUUUAAUCUGUUGUAUUAUAUAAUUGUCUUGUUUUAUAUACUUUAUAAAAUAACAAAUCUUUUAAUAAAAGUACAUAGGCAGGGACACGCAAGAGCAUGCUCUGUUAUAAAUCUCAAUCUGGAUUUCAAGCCAGGAUUUCUGGGAGCUGAAUAAUUUUUGAGUUUAGCAGCUUCUAAAUAUCAAAUAACUUUUGCUGUCGCUCCCAUCAGUUCCAAUGGACAGGCAUUUCAGGAGAGUGCAGUUGGUUGACAGAUUCAGACCAAGUUUGGGGGGCUGAAUUAGUGUUAGGACACAUGUACUGAUUAUUGCGCAAGGAUUUAUGACACCUAUUUACACCCUCCUUGUUAACCCCUUACAGAGGGUCAGUCUUCAGCAUCUGGUUGGUCACUGUGAGAACAAGGAUGCAGGACUAAUGGUCCAUUGGCAGGAGCAACCAGUGGGGCUGAACAGGUGGGGCUCCCACCUUCCAGAGGUGCUGGGUUCCUGCUGCUUCCUGAGAGGGGGCUCUCACUCUUCUCCAUCUGGUCCUCUUUUUAAUAAACAGAAACAAAUACCCAGCAGAAACCACAUCGUAAAAUUAUUGAAGUAAGGGUAUUGUUGCCCUGUUUCAGCAUUUCUUUGCAUUUUAGACAGCACAAGAGCUGUGCUUAUACAGCACAGAAAAGCAUGCAGGCUUUCCCCAGAUUAAUGAAUAAAUUAAAACCGUUGCCAACCUGUGGGGCUAAAUUCAGGCCUGGUGUAAGAGGCUGCGGCCCCUGUGUCAUAGGACUCACUUAGGCACCCAGAGCUCAGCUCGGACCACAGUCUCUUUAUUUUAUAAUAAAUUACCACAUGGAUCAUCAAAUUUGAUAUUCUCUCAUAAAGGUUUAAUUAAGAAAAAAAGCCAAAUCCCCUGACACAGAAAGCCUCUGACUAAUAGUACUAAUAAAAUGCUCUGAAAUGUUUGAUAGAGCUUUCACAUACUAAUUGGCUUUCAUUAACUUUAACACUGGCUGAACUGAUCAGAGGAGCUCUGGCUGGGCUCACAUACUCCAGUAACUGCUGCUGCUGCAGAUUAUUAUUAUAGUAAGUAAAAAAGGGAAAGGCAGAUGUCCCAUUUUUCAUAUUUGGGUCUGUAAGCGGGUUUUUCUCCAACUCUAGUUGGCCAGUGAGCCUUGGAUAUUUUGUUUUCCACACUAAUGUGUGGUUUUGGCUCACUUGCUAAAUCAGGUAGGGGAAAUUUUUGGCCCUCCAGAUGUUGCUGAUCUACAACUUCCACCAUUCCUGGCCAAUGGAAAUUAUAGUUCAGCAACAUCUGGAGGGUCAAAAAAUUCCCCAUACCUGAUCUAAAUAAUGAAUUUCCAAAUUCUUAAGUCUGGGAAGGGGCGAAGGGAAUACACUUACAUUGGAAGCAGGUCUCACCAAUCUUUUGGAAUUUUGAGGAACUGCUGUGGGCACCAGUCACAGAAUGAUUGUUGUGAGGGACAAGACAUAAAACAAAAUUUCUGCCAUGGAGGAUUACACAAAAUGGCGUUCUUUCUCUUAGCUGGGGCUAGCCAGAUAUCCCCAGAAGCUCGCAGAGCAGGGCACGACGACAAUGGCCAUCCAUUGUUGGUUACUUAUGGCAUCUGGCGGUCAGAGGAACAUAGAAAGUGGCGCUUAUACAGUGGUACCUCGGGUUAAGUACUUAAUUCGUUCUGGAGGUCCAUUCUUAACCUGAAACUGUUCUUAACCUGAAGCACCACUUUAGCUAAUGGGGCCUCCCGCUGCUGCCGCGCCGCCGGAGCAUGAUUUCUGUUCUCAUCCUGAAGCAAAGUUCUUAACCUGAAGCACUAUUUCUGGGUUAGCGGAGUCUAACCUGAAGCGUAUGUAACCCGAGGUACCACUGUACUCAGAAGUACACUGCUUCUGACCACACGCACAAACAAACAUGCAUUUUCUUUCUCCUCUUAUACAUGUAUUUAUCUAUCUAUCUAUCUAUCUAUCUAUAUAUACACAAAGGGAAGGCAAGGCAAGAAAAUUGUGAACAGACCUGUGCAUCUUAUGAUUGGGCCUGACACAAACAGGGAGAAUAUGCAGGCAGGUUCUAGUGCCCCAGAGCCUUGCCAGGACUACCACUGCUGGUGUUUCUACGUGGCAGCCCAGCAGUGGCACUCAGCAGGUCUCUUUUGACAGCAGCAGUAGUGUAUCUUGACAGAUUUACCCAGCAGUUUUCACACACACUUGUCUUAAUCUUGGGAUAAAGUCAUCCUAGUGGUGCAGGAUUAAAACUGCUAGCACGUUUGCAAAGCUAAGCAGGGCCUGGUCUGGUUUCAAAUUGGAUGGGGGACCUCAUGUUAAGAUUCUCAUGCUACAUUCUCAUGUUCUCUGGGCUCACAUUGCAGACUAAGCCUCAAUUGUGUGCAGCUGGCAUAAACUUAGUGGAAAGCUAAGCGGCCAAAAGACAUAUUGGAGUGUGAAAGGGAUGUUAGAAAUCAGAACAGAAGGGUUACGGUUCUAAUCAGUAAAACUAAUGCAACAAACCUCAUGUGUGAAUACAUCCUUAGUUUCUUUUAUGGAGACCAGAUGUGUUAAUCACUCCUUAGUUAGUAUGAUCAGAUUUAGGCUCUUGUGUGAUGGGCCCAAUCUCCAGAGGGGAAUGCUUUUGCAAUCUUGGCUUGAUGAUUUCAUUGCAUUGCCCUAGGUACGUCCUGCACACAUGACUUGCGCCAUCAGUUUCCACUAGGCAAGCCUCCAGCAGCCUCGUUGCUUUUACUGCAAAGUACGCCAUACUAAAGCCAUUGUAAAAUCAUAUAGUCAAUACUGGAGUGGAGUGCCUACCAGGCUCUUGCGGACAGCAGCUUGCCAACAGCACUGGUAUCUUAAUUAGACUGGCCCCUCUUCUGGCAUAUUUGUGCCAGGGCUGGCAUAAUUAGCAUGCUGGCACCAGUGAGCCCCAGAGCUUUAUGCUGGCAUAUGGACCCAGAGCUGAGGUGAGCACCAGUGCCAGGCAAGCAGUUUGCCUGCCAGCUAGAAAGCCACAGGGAAUAGGAACCAAGAGGGGGAAACAAGUUCCAGUGGUGGAGAAUCCAUUACAGCAGAUUGCACAGGGUCUUCCAAAAUGGACUUGCUCUUGAGGCAGUGACUGCAGCUUUGAUUCAGAGAUGCUCUAGGUUGUGCUAGCCACUGUGUUCCAGACUAGUCUUCUGUCCUGGUGCCCUCUAGGUGUCUGGGGCAAAAUUUUGGCUAAGGCUGAUGGGAGUUAUAGUGCAACACAUCUGGAGGGCGCUAGGUUGACAAUAGCAAAUUUAGUCGGUAAUGUGAAUUUUCUUGCUUCCAAAUGUGGUAAUGCAGUGCUUUUGCAUUUGGGUUUCCUGAUGCUUAUUCUGCUAAAUGGGGCCACAGACCUCUCUCUGUCCCUACAUUCCGCCCUGACAAUCCCACAAUCCUGGGGGAGAGGGAAGCUGGAGAAGGUGGAAAAAGACACUCCAGCUCUAUCUAACAGGCACCAAAGUCAAUUCUCAUCCUGAGGAAUUUAAAAUUUGCAUUGGAGAUAGGACAUUGAAAAUAUGCCAAACACCUGUAGAGAUUCUGCAUGUAUAAUCCUUGCAAAAGCCCAACGUGCAUUCAGAGAAACAAAAGGGAUAUGUGGGAGAUUGCAGUAAAAUUCAACAAUGCAUAUUCUUGCUAGUUAAUAAGUUUAGGGGCUAAUGACCAUAGAGCUAAUAGGCCUUAGAAAUGUAAUUGGUAGAGAGGGCUUUGUGUGAUGUCAUUUCCUCUCCUCUCUUGAGCAGGACUCAAAGAAGCAUUUCCUGUUCCUUCACCCAGCAAUGAGUGCAGCUACACCUUCCGCUUGCUCUGGCUCAGGCACAUGUCUGAGACUGGUUUUACUAGAAAUAUAUGUAUUUUACCUGCAUUGUUUUUCCUGCUGAGAACCAAUGCAAGACUGUGAGUAAGCAAAUCGUAUUUUAAACUUCCCAGUCUGUUGUCUGAAUCUUCGUUAAACAGGGUAAGAAAAAGGUCAGUCAGCUUGCUUCGUUUUCAGAAUUUGGCCAGCGGUAAAAGUCAUUUAGAGGCUGGUGUCAGCAACAAUGUCUCUUGAGUCUUCAGAAACUGUCGACAAGCACCAUUAAGACCCCAGUGUAAACAUCAGCAUUUCCAUAUAUAAUAAGAUCCCCUUGAUCAAGGCAACAAUUUCAUUUUAAAGUUCACCCUGCCUCUGGUUUUUCUGUCCAGUUCAUGUCUAAUCCUACUAUACCAGCUACUAAGACGUUUUGAAAGCAUUCUGAGUGAAUGGGUGGCAACGUAAAAUUAAACAAGUACAGAAGCCGAAAGAAAGUGAAGCUGUAUCCCUGACAGAGAGGCAGCAGGAAUAGAUCACUUUCUAACAGAGCUAAGGCAAAAACUUCAAGAUUGUGAAUUUGAAGCUGUAGGAAACGUCAUGUUCUUAACGAGGCUGCCCUGUUCUUGAGUUUAAAAUCUAAAACAGCUUAUCUUGUAUUCCUUUCUUUGAAUUUGUGCCAUCUAGGUUUUUUAAACCUUUGUGUAAAGGCAAUACUAGAACUUUCACAGCUGAGUCCUCAACUCUUUAUUACUGUGUUUGGCUUUCUUUAAGUUGGGCUGUGUCUAAAACUUGCCAUUUAGGUUUUCAAACUUUUUUUUGUAAACUUAGUAUUGGAAACUGUACCUUUGAGUCCUUAAUCCUUUAUUACUGAGCUUUGCUUCACCCUAGGUUGAGCUAGGAUUAUAAUACUUCAGAAUUUUUGGGAGUUUUAACCCCCUUUUUUGAAUUUUGGUCAUUUAAGGUUUAUGAUUUUUCUAUUUCCUUCUGAGGAAACUGAAUAGUUCAGUGAAACAAGGUUUGUAGCCGGCAUCCCGUUAAGGCUUUGUACAAUUCUAGGUUUUUCUAAUUUUUUCCUUAAACUUUUUGAUUUUUAUUAUUUAGUUUAUUUCUAUAAGAUAAUAUUUCUAGUCAAUUACUUCUCGUUUCAGGGAUUUUCACGGUAUUUCAUUUGUUUUGUGUAAAGUCCCCAAAAAGAUAGCAGCACAGCACAGAAUAAACAGGGUGUGGGCACAUUCUCAAGCCUAGAGCAUGCCCAGCCUGAGGUGCCAUGCGCCACAAGGGCUCAUUUUGCCUAGAUGUGCACAACAGAGAGAACAGAAGCAACUCCAAAAUUGGAGAAGGAAGGUACACUGUUGGAAAAGUGUGGUAUGCUACUAUUGAUGUUGUGGGGGCGCUUGAAGCUAGAUAAUGGAUCUGAGGUGAUGCCAGACAAUUUUUGCAGUGAGCCUGCAAGGUGUGCGCAAAGAGAUUGCACUAGUGGCUUUGGAAAGCUUUGGAAUUAACUAAAGGGUGCGAUGAUAGCACAGCUGGACUGAACAAAGCAGAUCUUAGGACGGGUGAAUCUGUGUGUUGUGUUGAGUUCCCUUUGGCUCAAGAACUUCUCUGUUAAAGGGUAGUGACCACAACUUCCCUGACUAUUGUGACAGUCUUCGCUUGCAGAGCACAUGUGACACCGUGUGAACCUCGGCUUUCAAUGCUGGAUAUCUUUGAAAUACCUUGUGACCUAAGAAGAACCCGAAAGCUAUUGUACUGGUAUCUUAAGAUAGGCUUGCUUUGGCAAAGAUAUUUGCCGCAGUGCCCUGUGUUUCUCUCUGUGUGUGAUCAAUUAGAUUGUUGAAUAAAGCACCUCAUGUGUGUGUUGCUUUAGGUGAAGCAUUUGAUUUGCACUUUGUUCCUCGUUCUACUUUGUAUUCCCUUAAACUUGGACAAUCUUGGCCUGUGUGGUACUGUUAUUGUUGCCUGGAGAACGUCUACUCCCCACUCUCUUUAGGACUUAAAAGGAUGGGAACUGCCUCCUAAUUGCCCAAUUAGUCCUAAUGCCACGUAGUGUUGACUAUUUAGUUACCACGUAUUGUGUACAGAACUAAUUGUGGUGAAAGCCAAAUGAAUAGGAAGGAAACAAACAAGCUACUAGAAAAUAAUUACAUGGAGUGUUUCUUUUUAGUACCUCUAGAGCAGAUUUCAUUAUAGUCAACAGCUUCUAAAGCUGCUCGAAAUAGCAGUAUUUGUCAUUUUCAUAGAAACUUGAUAAUGACAUUAAUUUAUCUUAAUGGUCUGUUCUAUUGUUAUAAAUAGUAAAAUUAGCUCAAAUUGUCUUGCUUUUGCUGGUUUUGGAUAGCUCCAAAGGGCCCCACAACAGCAGAUGAGUAGGUAAUUUGGUGUGCUUGACAGACUUCCAAUAAUUUGUUAUGUGGAACAUGAGUAAUGUUAGUGCCAUUAAUGUUCAUUUUCCUCUAAAUUCAUUACUGCCCUUUUCCCUUUUAUCUUUUUUAAUGUCUGGGCCAUUUUUCUAUAUUUCAAGUGGCUGCACCAAGCCUAUUCAUAUUCCGCUGUAGUAGCUAUUAACAUUCUGAACAUAGCGAACAUCAGGUAGAAAAACAACUCUUUAUGAAAUGAUGAGUUUGGUGGCUAUUUAUGACCCAAAGCAGGUAAAACAAGGUGGUAUUAAACAAUGGUCAUAAUUAAGUCAAAUCUAAUUGCAAAGAAAUUUAAAUGUUUUCAUGUUUCUUGCAAAGAUUAAGAAAACAAAAUGCUUCACGAAAUGUCUAGGAAAGUGCAAAUGCUUUAAUAUAUAAUAAUCAAGAAGGAGAGGGGGGAACCUACCAGCACAACCUAUUUCCCCGAGUAUCAUCUGUGUUUAAAGUUCACAAGAUAUUUUCAUCCGAAGUGAUAGCUGAAUACACAGGAUGUUCUACUGCAUUUAAUUCUUAUUAGCUCUGGGAAAUGGUCCUUUUGAUUGAGGUUUGUUGACAUGAUUAUCAUCUAAACAAAUGAGAGAGCAUUUAUAAGGGUAAAAAUGAGUAUUUGUAAAUGUGUUUACUUUUCGAUUGUGGUUGCCUUCAAUUCCUGCCUCUUUUACUUCCCAUGACGCUGUGCCUGGGUUUUGUACUGCUAUUGAGAUGAGGUAUAAUACUUUGCUUUAUGAAGUCUCACUAAGAUAAAUACAGCAUGAGCAAGUUGCAGUGUACACCAGUGUAUACUGGUGUAUCUGAAGAAGUGUGCAAGCACACAAAAGCUUAUAACCAGAACAAACGUAGUUGGUCUCUAAGGUGCUACUGCACAAUUUAUUUAUUUAUUUUAUUUAUUUCGACUGAUUUAUUUUAUUUAUUUCAGACCAACACGACUACCUAUCUGAGUGUACACCAAAUUCAGUUGUCAGUCUCAAGACAAUGUGAUAUAAUAAGAGAAUGCCUCUGGACAUGUGGAAAGUUUAUUUUUACUCCCUGAAAGAUAAUAGCCUAUUACACACAUUUCUGAUAAAGGAUCAAGGCUUCUAGGAAACGGAGUGUUAUUUGUAAGCAUGCUGAGAUUAACUUUCACUGAGAAAAAUGAAGUGUUCACAUUUACAAAGGAAUUUUGGAUUAGCUUGAAACCCUCCUUGUCUUUUUGUGGACCAUUUUCCAGUGGUAUUUUGGGGGUGGUGAUAUUUGGAAGAGCUAAACCAGCUUGUAGCAGUGGAAACAGAAUUCUGUGGGUUAAUGAGGGCUGCCAGGGGCUGCCUUCAGAACUGUCAUUGGAUUAGUGCUUCAUAAUGACAUAUACUGUACUUUUCCGUGUAUAAGACGAGUUUUUCUUUACUGUAAAAUGAUGUUUAAAAACUGGGGGCGUCUUAUAUGGUAAAUAGGAGUGUGAUUGGCUGUCGCUGCGACAAUUUAGCUUGCAAUUUCCUGCUGCUAUUAUUUAUUGGACUGGCGCUUGUAGCAGAUGCGAGCGGUUUUUAGCGAGCGGUGCGAGUGGUUGUAACCGUCGGGUUAGUGAUUGACUGCAUUCCUCCCCAAAAAUCAUGAACAACCUCUGGCAAUCCUCCCCCCAAAAAGCUCAACAACUUUGGGCCAUUUUCUUAAAUUUGUGUUCCCGCAAAUAGGAGGCGUUUUAUACAUGGGGGGGUGUUAUACACAGAAAAGUAUGGUAAUAAUCUUAGAAAGGGAGCUGUGGGAACAUUGCUGGGUCAAAUGCUGCGGCUGCCACUUCAGAACAGGCAGCAGUAAGACAACAGCAAAAGGAGGGACACUCCCCCCCCAUUGCAACUCUAGAUUUUGUUGAGAAGUUCGCCCACCUUGGCCCUGACUCAGAGAAAGGUAGUUGCAUUUUACGUCCUAUUAAACUGAAUGGGACAGGUUCGUGGCAGCUAAGUUGAUUUUCAAUGGGAUGUAAGGCCCUUUCACAUAUCAUACAAAUCAUCCAUCACCAGGGAGCUGCAGCCAAUCUUAUUUCAUUCAUUUGAGAUAGAUUAAUGAUUUGCCCUUCAUUGGUGCAGAUGCUAGGGCAGCGUACAGAACACAAAAAUAAAAACAACCCCUCCAAAUCAUAAAAUAAGCAACAAGACUUACAAAAUACACAAAAUCAUUUUAGGUAUAUACCUAAAAAAAUAAAAAAUAAAAAGGUAGUCAAGGCCCUCAAGCAUGACUAAUUUCUUCAGGUCAGGAGUCUUGAAUGAUACGUUCCAUAUGUGCUGUUAACAAACUCAAUUUCUCAAAUGUUAUGCAUUCAGUUUCUGUUUCCAAGUAUAAGAAAAAGUUUCUUUUACAGUGGUACCUCGGUUUGUGAACUUAAUCUGUUCCGGAAGUCCGUUCUUAAACUGAAACCGUUCUUAAACUGAGGCGCGCUUUCCCUAAUGAGGCCUCCAACCACCGGUGCCCUUCCACUGUUUGGAUUCUGUUCUUAGACCGAGGUAAAGUUCUCAAACCGGGACACUACUUCCAGUUUUGCAGAGUUCUUAAAUCAAAUUGUUCAUAAACAGGACGGUUCUUAAACCGAGGUACCACUGUAUAAGAUUAAUGCCAUGAGAAAAACAGUGACUUGAUGUUCUUUUUCAACGAGGUAACAGAUACUGGUUUUCUUCUGUAGACCCACGCAUAGUAGCAAAGUAUGCUGAUCACAUUUGGUUAAUUAAAUAUUUUCACACAUGCUUGGAGAUAGAAAUGGAAAGUUAUUAGUUUGAGGGUUUGUUUUUAAAAUGGUGUCACAAUAUGCUAGCUUUCAGUCUUUGUUUCUCAACAGCACCUUCCUUGCUUGCAUAAGGGGGGGGGAGAGAAAAAAACACAGCAAGCAUUCAUUUCUAAGAUCAUGCUAUUUUGUGGCUUUGUGUAAGGAGCACCAUAAUCAAUAUCCUAAUCAAAAUAUACUUGGGCAUGGAUUGUUCUUUGUAUUUUAUUUUUUUAAUAUGGAAGAUAAUGUUUUUGUAAUGCAGGGUAUCAGUGAUAACAGUUCAUAAAUAUUUAUCCUAAUAACGUAAAUGCAUCCACCUGCCUUCAUUUAUAAAAUAAUAGCCUUUGAGAGUAAGGCACAAACCUUAUUCCAUUUAACUGACUUUCCCUGCAGUCCAUUAGACUCGGCUGUGUAUUCUGCUAAGGAAGCUGCAGCGUGUCAGCAGCCCAUAAUGGUUCAUGGAAGAUAAAUGGAAUUAGGCAAUUGAAUAAUUACAGGGGCACUCUCUAUAGCGCUAUAAGUAAAGGUCUGUCAGCAUUUCCAUUAGGAAACCCAGUCCCCCAGCUUCAGCAGCAUACAUCUGUAAAGUUUGACUGGGGACAAAAUUCAACAAACAGAAACUCAUUGUGGGGGGGAGAUAUAUUUCCAUGUUUGCUUCAAAACCUGGUGACUAACUUCUAAAAAGUGCUCAAGUGGCGCCUCAGCACGCACAGAGCCUCUACUUGCACACCAUAAUGAGCAGAGUUGUUUGCAAUUUAUAUGCCAAAAAUCAGCACGUUAAAGCUGCAAUCGUUUGGGACCUACCAAUAAAUAGGAUUGCAAUCCUAAAUACUCUUAAGGAUGUGGAACACACCACCAUACCUUUAAAACACACACGCCACUGGGAGGGGGGUGAGAAAAAGAAUCCUACAAAAUCUACAGCCAUUCUGUUUUGUUCUUUUUGAAAAUCAGUACUGAUAGAAAUUGUGUGGGGUUUUUUUAAUAAAAAAAGAAUAGUAUUAUUAUAACGUUAUGCAUUGCCUUAUGCCAAAAGCUACUUAAACAAAUAAAUAUUAAAACAAUGCAACGAUAACAACCAAAAGUGACCAUACUCAGCAUCCCACCCCCGAGUACACAUUUCCCACCAUAAAAUCAUCAUAAGCAAUAAUCAUAAUUCUUUCUCUUUUUGGUAGGUGGGUGCUUUAAAAGUAUAGUGGUAUGUACCCAUACCCUUAAGUGUGUCUAGGAUUGCAAUUUGUCAAUUGCAAUUGUUUAUGUUUACUUGGAGGUAAGUCCCAUAGGAUUGCAGCUUUAAUGUGCUACUUGUUUACAUAUAAAUGCAAACAGCUCAUUAUGGUGUUCAAGUGGAGGCUGUGUGUGUGUGUGUGUGUGUGUGUGUGUGUGUCUGUGUGGAGGGGGUAUUUGAGCACUUUAAAUAAGUUAGUCACCAGGCUUUGAAGCCAACGUGGAAAUAUAUUUGCCCUUAACUUUUAUGGCCAAUACAGGUUGCAUGCAUCAUAUCCAGUCAUAGAUGGCACAAACUUAUGUGCAUCCCCUAUGGGAGAAGUGGAGACACUACGGGGGAUAUCUUGUGUGACCAAGAGAAUGGCAAUCAACUGGACUUUGUAUAUAUGACACUACGUUAAGAAACAUGCUAAAAUGCAGAAAUCUUAGGUGCAAGAUCCUAAAUGCCAUUAGGCGCACUCUUAUUAGGCUGUCUCUUUAAACCUCAGCAUGCAUGAAGGGAGACGUUCCCAAGUAUGCAAGGUAAGGAAGAUUAGACUCAAGCAGGUAAUGAUUGUCAAACCAUUAAUAACAUUAACAAACAUUAAUAACCAUUAAAUUCUGGACAUAUCUGGGAUAGAUUUUGUAGAAUCCCAAAUAAGAGUUUGUACCGUAUGAAUUAUUAUCCUAUUUGAAGCACAGAAUAUAUCUCAAAUGGCUUUAAAACCAUAUUGUAGCGAAAUAUGCAGUUUAUUCCAUUAACUACUCACUGAGUCAAUUGGAGAAGUGCUGUUAUUAAUUUCAAUGGAAAGCUAAAAUGCAGUUCAUUUUCUGUAAUUGCAGGCCCAUGGCCUAAAGAGACCGUAAAAGCUUUUAAUCCAAGGCAUUUUUAGAAGGGCAUGAUCAGAAUUACGUUUAGCAUCAUCAUAAGGUAUGUAAUUAUGAAAGCCUCUGUAAAAUACGAAUGAAAAGAGCUGCGCUUGGUAUGAUCUAAAUCUCCAGUGUUGCAAACUAGACAGGUAUCUGAUGCUGAGCCCCAUCUAAACACAGUUUAAAAAAGGUGGUUAGACAAACAAAUAUUUGCAUCUCAAUCCUAAAUGCAUUUCUUUGGAAGUACCAGGAUAAUUGAUCACAUUUGUAAGCCUCUGCCUUCAUCUGAGCAGCUCAAAUAAGCAAAGGGGGUUAUUAUAUUAUUAUACAUUUAUGGAUUGCAUUUCACAUGAGUCACAAGGUGAUUUACAAACAUACAAUCCAAUUAUCCACAGUUAGCCUAUUUUAUUUUCACAGCAACCUUUCGGGAUGGGUUAGACUGCAAGAUAGUGACUUACCCAGGGAGCACUGAACCCAGGUUUCUUUAGUCCAAUGGAAGCCAUGUGGUGCCCUCAAGAUGUUGUUGGGAGUUGGAGUCUGACAGUCUCUGGAGAGCAACACAUUGUCUAUUCCUGCCUUAUUCCGACAAAUGGUCUAGUACAUCACACUGGCCUACAGCUCUCCCCUUCUUCCUGUGGUUAUCCCACAAUUCAUUCUCUUGUCUUCUCCCUCUGGGCCCAAUCAGCACCACAGACUAGGAGGAGAGGGCAAGACAAAGGUUGUUGCUCCUCCAUGUUCUUGACGCUGCUCAAAUACUUUGAAUGGGCAGGUAAAACAGGCAGAACUUUGGGGUUUGAGCAUUGGCAUGCAGUGCUUAAUCUGGGAAUGGCACUUGCUUUUAAGGCAAGUGGAGAUUUACUCUAAUCCUAAACCCUAUGACUCCACUUUGGGGUAGGUCCAAAGCAACCCUCCCCCAAAUGUUUUGGGCUACAACUCCCAUCAUCCCCGAGCAGUGGGCAUGCUGCCUGCAGCUGAUGGUACUUUCAGGCUUUUGGUGAGCCCCCUUGGUAAACACCUUUUCCACUAACACACAUUCUAAGAAUCUCGUAUUGAGCAGCGACAAUCCUGCAUCUCAGAUUUGUCCAGGAACUUACAUAAGUUAUAAAGCAAAAUGUUAAUUGGUGACACACGAAAUCAGAAUAUGCAACCGCAGUGGGGAAAAGCUCAGGAAAAUCUGCACAUUUACUACAGCAAUGGGGAGUAGCUCAGCAGAAACAAAGCAUACAAUUUCUUUGGUUUGAAAAAGAAGAAGAAGAAGAAAAGGAGGAGGAGUUUGGAUUUGAUACCCCGCUUUAUCACUACCCUGAGGAGUCUCAAAGCAGCUAACAAUCUCCUUUCCCUUCCUCCCCCACAACAAACACUCUGUGAGGUGAGUGAGGCUGAGAGACUUCAGAGAAGUGUGACUAGCCCAAGGUCACCCAGCAGUUGCAUGUGGAGGAGUGGGGAAGCGAACCCGGUUCACCAGAUUACGAUUCCACCGCACUGGCUCCCAGUGAGAGAGUUAACUAAAUAAUUCUAGCCAUGAUUAAACUAAUACAUGCAUUGCAGACACAGAAGAAGGAACAAGCACACAUGGCACGAGAAGAGGCAGACGAAGGGCACAAAAAUGGGCUAAAAAGGAUGCUGGACAAAGUGGACCUUUGGUUGGAUCCAAAAGGGCUCGUCUAAUACUUACUUAUAUUGAGAAUGAAUGCUCUGUUUCUUCCUGGCUACAUUUUACAAGAAUGCACUCUCUCUCUGCAUUCCUUCCGGUGGAGAGAGAUUGCACCCAGGCAAGUGUAGCCUCCAAGUUUUCCUCGUUGCUUUUGCACCAAGGCAUUGAAGUGCUUUAUUUUUAGCUAAAACUGCCUAUGGUUGCUUAGGGAACCCGUUACUCAGUGUACCUUAUUUUCACAGAAUCCCGUGGCUUGAGCAGCUGAUACAUGGGUGUUCUUAUGCCAUUGUAUUUCCUAGUGGAAAUAAAUUAGAAUCUAGACUGGAUGUUCUCCCGAGAGAAGCAAUAUUGAAUUUUAUACUUGCACUGGGCAUGUGGCAGCUGCUGCUGUAUGAGUUGGUGGUUGGAGUGGCAGAGAGGCUAAGGCCAAAGUCCUAAGUGGGGUUAUUUGGGAGUAAAUCCUACUGCAAUGAAUUGGGUUGCCUUCUGAUGCAGUCCUUAGUUACAGAGAUCAUCAGGUUACUAUUAGUUGUUUAGGGGGAAAGAUAGGUCUAAUACAGCCUCCUCUGUGUAAUGGUGGUUAGUGGCAUGGCUUUGAGGAUGGAUUUGGGAAAGGACCAAACCACCUGGAUAGCUCAGUUGGAGAGACCAUGCGGCAGAUAAUGCCAAGGUUGCAAGUUCGAUCCCCAUAUGGGACAACUGCAUAUUCCUGCAUUGCAGGGGGUUGGACUAGAUGAUCCUCAGGGUCUCUUCCAACUAUUCUGCACACGUCCCCAGUGCUGUGGUCCUGAUCCACAUCACACAGCUGAUGCAGUUGUUUUUAAGGUCAUAAGAUGAGAUUGGGAGAUAGGAUUGCUGAUCCCUUGCACCAUACAGUGGUACCUCGGGUUACAUACGCUUCAGGUUACAUACGCUUCAGGUUACAUACACUUCAGGUUACAGACUCUGCUAACCCAGAAAUAGUGCUUCAGGUUAAGAACUUUGCUUCAGGAUGAGAACAGAAAUUGUGCUCUGGCGGCGCGGCAGCAGCAGGAGGCCCCAUUAGCUAAAGUGGUGCUUCAGGUUAAGAGCAGUUUCAGGUUAAGAACGGACCUCCGGAACGAAUUAAGUACUUAACCCGAGGUACCACUGUAUAUUGUUUGGCCCUUUGACAUGCAGUUGGGUUAAAAACAAGAGCAAGAAAUCUGCAAGACCAGAGAGUGUUGUCACCAUGUGUGUUCAGGGAAGAGUACUCAUAGAUCUCUGAGGAUCAGUCUCCAUGAGCGGAGCUCUCUAAUUUAGUAGCAUAUCCUGCUCACAGAAGCCAGGCUGCAGAAUAGUGCCCUUCAGCAUUCUCAUCAUGAUUUCCCAUACAUCGAGUUUGCUUCUUAACUGGUCAAGACAAAACCAGGGAGUGCACCGCAAGAACCAAUUCUUUGCCUCAUUGGGUUUUUCUGUGGCUAAAUGGACCAAUUUGUACAAUAAAAGUGCUCUAGAUGGAAAUGGUGGAUAAUGAUAGCAGGAAACAUAUGAGAUUGCACAGGGCAUGAUGAGCACUUUAAAACAACUGAGACUCACCUAACCGUUUUGUGGCCUGAUUCACCAGGUAACGUGACAACAUAGUCUUUUCCCAGAACAGAGACAAUGCAAAAGCCAAAACCAGGCACCAAUAAAAAGGGAGAAUGGGGAACAAGUAUCAUGAAGCAAAGAAUACAGGUCAGUCCUUAAGAACUUUUCAAGCAGGAAUGUAAUUUGGAGUAGUGAAAUAAUAAACACUAAUGCUUAAUUUCUGGGCUAGAUGCCAGGCCUGGGCCAGAUGCCAAACUUAUCGGCUGGAAAAGAAUCUAAAGCAAAGGGCUUGUGAAGACAAAAAAUGGACAAUUAGAAAUGAUUGGACAUCUUACAUUUAAAUAGUAGAAGGGGGAAAAGAAAGGAUCAAUAGCCAGGACAGCAAAAUAUUUGGAAAUCUUGGAGUAAAUAAUUGAAUAUAAUUAAUUGCUCUUACUUCUGGUCUUCAGGCCUGAAGCCUGAUCGUGUCUUGGAGACUAGAUUGAAUUGAAGCAAAAGAACUUGAAAGGGAAAAACAACAAUAAAUACUACAAAGAUAACAGAAGCGGGUAAAAUCCAAGCCGAGACAUUCGCAUUAAACUAUUAAGGAAAUUAUUGUGACUUUAAGGCACUGUAAAUAGCAACUCGGUGAAGCAGUUGAGUUGGCUAGAUGCCAAUAGACAAUUCCCAUGAGGCAAAGCAAUCCAAAAUAAAUUGGGGGGGGGGGAGGAAGCACCCAUCAUAUCGAAGUGUCCAGUGAUUAACCAGAGCCCAAUCAACAGAAGCAAUUAUGGCAAGUAGACAAGAGAAACAAAGUGGAGAUGGAAGUAAGAAAAACAGGAAAAAUGGAACUCAGAGGGGGAGCAAGGAGGAGUUGGGGGCGAAAUCUAAAGAAAAAAGGCAUCAAGAACAAGUAGAUAUCUUGGAUAAAAUAAAAGAAAUGAUGCAGAAAGGCAACGAGAUUCUCAGAAACCAGAUAGUGACAGGCAUUACCACUCAAAUAGAAAAAGCAAUUUCAGAGAUCAAAGUAAGAUAAAGUAGAUAAAGUAGAAGCAAAGAUGGACCAAAUCCAAGAAAGAGCGCAAAACAAUGAUGAAAAGAUAAAGCAACAUAAUGUGAAAAUUGAGCAAUGGGAGCUGAGAAUGAUGAGAGUAUUUCAGGAGUUUUACCAAGAGUUAUAUCCAGCAGGUAACAAUUCUAUGGGGAAGAUGAAAGAAUAUACUGAGAGACACUGGAAGAUAAAGCUAGAAAGGAAGGAUAAUGAGGUUAUGGAACAACCAAUUUCAGAAAAAGAUAUAGAGGAAGUUAUAGGGAAACUGAAAUAGGCGAAAAGCCCAGGAGCAGAUGGAUUGGGAACAGUAAAUUAUAAGGUAUUUUUAAAAAUAUUGGUUCCUAAAUUAAAAAUAUUAUAUAAUUCAGUAAUAGAGGUUGAGAGGAUCCCACCAUGAUGGAACAAUCAAUGAUUAUCUUAAUUCCAAAACCAGGUAAAGAUUUGAAGGACUCAGGAUUAUAUAGACCGAUUUCCCUAAUAAAUCAAGAUGCUAAAAUAUUGACUGCAAUAAUGGCAAAAAGGAUGAAUAAUUUCAUGUGUAAAUAUAUAAAUAAAAACCAAUGUGGCUUUGUAUCAGGAAGACAGAUGUCUAGUUUAAUAGCAAGAGUGUUGAAUAAAAUAGAUAUAAUAAGAAAAAAUAAAUUGAAACUGGUAUAGUAGUACUGGAUAUCUUUAAGGCUUUUGACAGUGUAGAAUGGCCGGUGUUAAAAAUAAUGACAGAAAGUUUAGGAUUUGGAGAAGGAUCGAAAGGAUUACUAGAUCAAUUAUACUUGAGGCAUAUGUCUUAUUGAACAAUGGUAUAACAGAACAAAUAACACUAGCCUGAGAUAGAAGACAAGGGUGUCCCUUUCCCCAAUUUUAUUUGUAUUGGUCAUUGAAACUCUGGCCAAUGUAAUUAGAGAAGAUGGAAAUAUAAAAGGAAUAAGUAAUAAUGGAAAAGAGAAAAUAAGCUUAUUUGCAGAUGACAUCUUGCAAACAAUCAACAAUCCGUUGGAAAAUAUGCGGGUAAUAGAGCCAAAUUUGAAUUUUUUUUUGAGAAAUAGCAGGGUUGCGAAUUAAUUGGUCCAAAUCAGAGAUUAUGAGAUUUAAUUAUGAUGAAGAUGGAAAAAAAAAACUUUUGAAGGAAAAAAAUAGAUAUAAAAUUAAGAAAUGUAAUAAAGUACUUGGGAAUAAAUAUAACAAGAAACUUAGAAAAUUUAGAACAAGAGAAUUUUAACAAAUUAAAAAGGGAAAUUAAGGGGAAACUGGAGGAAUAUAAUAAAAUUAAGCUUUCAUGGUUUGGAAGAACAGUGAUAAUUAAAAUGAAAAUUUUGUCUAGAAUAAUUUUAUUAUUUAGAAUGUUACCAAUUAAGAUAUCAGGGACAGAGAUAAAAGGUUGGCAAAGUAUGAUUAAUAAAUUUUGUAAUGGGGAUCAGAAAUUAAUCAAAGAAAAAAUCCCAGAAAUCCCAGAAAAUAUGUGGACUUGGUCUCCACAACAUAAAGUUAUAUUAUAUAGCAUAUAAGAUAUAUUGUAGAUGGGAUAACACAACAAGGAGAGUUAGCAUGGUUAAAGAGUGGUACACAGAAAAUGAGGGAGAAAUUAGUGAAUAUAUUUUCUGUCAAACAGAAUAGGCAGUGGUGGCAGAAUAUUGAAAAUCCCUUAUUAAGAAACAUCAUUGAGAUACAGGCAAAAUAUAAUAGAAACUUGAUACCAAUAAAUUCCCCACUAACCCCGGUGGUGAUGAUAGAAGAUUUCCCAGUAAAUUUUAAGAAAGACAUUGAAAAAGAAAUGAAAGAGAAGAAAAUACUUAAAAUAAAGGAAUGGGUGGAGAAAAUGAGAAGCAAAGAACAAAUAAGAGAAUCUCUAACAGGAAGUAAAAUAACUUGGUUUAACUGUAUACAACUGGAGCAAUGGACAAAGAAGUGGUUAAGGGAAAACAAGAAAUGCAAGGUGGUGUCAUUUUGGGAGGUUGGGUAAUUAUAAUGGAAUGGUCUUGGGGGUGGGGUGCACAUUUUUAUUUCUAUUUAUUUAUUAAUAUAAAUAAUUGAAUUAAUAUAAAUAAAUAUAAUAUUUUUGUUAAGGGAGAAUGGGUUUUUUAAAAAUCUCCAGUCCUUCAAUUUAUAUAUGACACUGUUGAAUCUCAUCAUUUGAGACGCAAGGCACAGCAGAACAAAGCCAAUCAUAUAGACUACAACACUAUAAAGGAAGGAAAUUUGUCUAUGUAUCAACAGGGCAAGGGAGGGAGAACCCACACCAAACUAUUUUUCAUCACCAAAGAUCAUGAACAAUAGCAGUAGCUCUCCUAAACGGGAAGUCUAGCUGCAUUGCUUGCAAUUACUAGAUCAAGCAUUCAGAGGAAGGAACUUUGGUUUUGUCUGUAUAAGAGGACAUUUUACUGGGGCAACCCAGUCAAAUGGGCGGAAGAAGAAGAAAUAAUAAUGAAUUCAGUGUGAUGCCCCCGCUUCACAUAGAAUGUAUCAGGUGGAGCGGGUAUGCUUCCUCACCUGUUAGGCUUUAUCGUAGCCUGCAGUGAAAUGUAAUACACUUUUAUUUGCAAAGUGUUGCAUUAAACCUCAAAGGUUACUUCACCACACCCACAAGCUUUUCGGAAGAUGAUGGGAUGACACUCAUUCACCCUAGUUAAUGGCUAUGGAUUUUUUGGAAUAUGAGUGAAAGUCAGUACACCAGCGGCUGCAAAAUAGAAGAAAGGAUCAAGAUCGGAAUUGCUGUAUUUGGAUUAUAUAUGAGACUAUGCGCAGGACCUAGAAAUAAUUAUCUCUGGACGAUCAGUACACGGGAAGUCACCAAAUUGUUUAAUUUGGAAUGUAUAAUUUGCUUUAUAAAUUGUAUUAUGAUUUGGUAUGAUUUGACAUUGUAAGAAUGUGGCCCAUAUUGAAGUGUUAUUAAUGAAAAAUUUAAAAAUAUAUAUUAAAAAAAGAGGGCUUUACCCUGUUCUCAAACCUUGGUGCCUCCAUACCUGCCCAUAAUGGCUGUGCAACGGUGAUACCUUGUCAUUCCAUGUAAUUGUUGUACUGGCUUUGUUUCAUCCACAGCCAUGAUGUACCCUCUCACUUGCCUGCUGCCAAGCCAGAUAUUUACUGUGGACAAGGGAUCCUGAGGUGCACCAUGCAUUUAAGGUGCUCCCUAACACUUACAUAGAAAGCUGUGUUAUACUGAGAUCAGGCUAUUGGUCUAUGUAGCUCUGCAAAGGACUGGCCUCAGUUCUCCAGGGUUUUAGGCAGGGGUAUUCUCAGCCUUACCUGGAGCUUUGGGGGAGUGAGCUUGGAACUUUUCCCAAGGAAAGCCGAUGCUCUGCUGCUGUGCUACAGCCCUACACAGGAUGCAGAGGACCAUUAAGCUGAAAUUGGAUGGCUCCACAAGAAGCUUUGCUAAUAUUGACCUUGCAACAAGAGCACGCACCCCUCCGUGCACCAUCGUGGCAAACUGCUUUUGAAAUUGAGGGGAAAUUCAGAAGCAGCUUCCAAUCAAGUAGAGUGGGGAAAUGUUUUCCACCCAAGAGUAGCAUUCCUUUCUACUCAACCUUCUGGGGACCACAAGCCAGUGGCGGGCAGGGCCAGAGGCAAAGGUAAGCCUGAGAAUGAAUGCAAAUUUUACCUUUGCACAGCAAAGUUUCCGUGCACACCUGCUUGUUCUCCAUCCAGGCAGGCAAACAAACAAACAAACAAACAAACAAACAAACGAGAGGCAUCAUCAGAGUUCAAGGACAUAUUCCAGCAAGCUAAAAACACUCAAGGACAGUGCAAAGCAGAGCCAGUAAUGGGUGUGACUGAGAAGGGUGUGUUACAUGAGAGCCUGAUAAGGUAAAGGUAAAAGAUCCCUGGACGGUUAAAUCCAGUCAAAGGCGACUAUGGGGUUGCAGUGUUCAUUUUGCUUUCAGGCUGAGGGAGCCGCCGUUUAUCCACAGAUAGCUUUCCAGGUCGUGUGGCCAGCAUGACUAAAUGCUUCUGGUGCAAAGGGACACCGUGGCAGAAACCAGAGCACACGGAAAUGCUGUUUACCUUCCCGCUGCAGCAAUACCUAUUUAUCUACUUGCACUGGUGUGCUUUCAAACUGUUAAUUUGGCAGGAGCUGGGACACAGCAACGGGAGCUCACUCUGUCACGGGGAUUCGAACUGCCAACCUUCUGAUUGGCAAGCCCAAGAGGCUCAGUGGUUUAGACCACAGCACCACCCGUGUCCCCAUGAGAGCCUGAUAAUGAGUCUUGAAGGGCCACAUUUUCCCCCACCCUGUCAUCAAGCGUGGGAAUUGGCUGUUCAGAGAAAGCAUUCCAGAGAGAGUGCCAAUACCUUUUGCAAGCCAAAGUAACUGUGGAUCCUGUCCUAUGGAGGAGGUCUACCUUUGUAAGCAUCUGGUUAAAUACAUUCACAAAUGCGUGAUCUUAGCACAGUAUUAUACUGCAUGAAUCUACUGUAUUAAAGCGAAAUAAUUUCCUAUUAUACAGAGAAGUGGGCUUUUCUUUCUUUAAAAAAAUCAAAGGUCUGUAGCUUUAUUAUGAACAAAGGUACUUUCGGGGGGUGGAAAUGACAUGCUGUAAUAUCCUGCAUUACAUAGCUUCUAAAUUGGGAGGGGGGGGGAGAAAAAAAGUGGGUGGGGGGGAAUCUCAUGCCUCACAAUGGAUAGAUGUAAUGGGAUUGAAAUACAUUCUCCGAUCAUUAAUACAAGCUUCAUAUAAUACAGAGAUAACUGAUGAAAUCGGCUGACCGUUUUUGGACCUUGGUUGCAUUUUUAAAGCAGGCAAAACCCCGGACCCAAGCAAAAAUCUAGAUCCAGUCAGCAGCAAACAAAAGGGUGUCCUUUGUGUCCAAGUCACACAGACUGACUGAAACAUGCGAGAAGUUAUCAGUUUGGUUUAGAAAUGUAAACGUGAGUCAACUCUAGGUAGAAAUUAAGGUAGCUGUCAUCGGCUCAAUGACAGGCGAUUCGCCGAUAAAAUUAUUCUGCAAAAAGACGACAGAUUGUUUUCCAGCAGUUCACGUGAAGGCAUUUGGGCUUUUGUCAGCAGAUGACAGAGCAAGGGGUUGGGGGAUGCAGUUCCUUCUCUCAGCUUGGGGGGGAAAGCAAGAUAGAAAAAAAUCUCUCCUUUGGACUUCCUGAAAUUGUAGUAACGUAGAACACUUAGCAACAGCUUCCCCCUUUGCUUAAAUCAUGUCUCUGGUUUUGUAUACAAUCCACUCAAGAGAGCUAAAGACAGCUGCAGUAUAAACUGUAAAAAUGGUUUUUAGAAAAAAGCGUUUCAUCAAAAUUCUUACAUAGCAAAACAUUCACUUUGGAACAGUAAUUAUUAGUAGACACUAACAGAUCAAAGGUCACCUCCCCCCUUUUUUAAAAUAAUUGCCAGCAUUCUUAGUAAUCACAUCAACGUUAAGCUUUCAUUGUAGGGUACAAACCUUUUCAUAUACUAAAUAGUUUGCUAAGAAAUAAUCUAAUUAUUGCACUUCAUUAUUAUUUUCUUUUUAAAAAAUCCAGGCUUUUGUCCUACUUCAUGAGAACGGAUGACCUGCAAAUAAAACUAUGGGAUGAAAAUGGCUUCUUACAAAAAGACACACUUUUAGAAGAUUAUGGAAGAAUAUGGUAGGUGAAUAUGACAAUGUUUGUAAGUGUCUGCCCCUUUGUUUUAUGUUUAACUUGUAUUACGAAUUACAAAAAGAUACUGGUUGCUGCAUCUUGUUGUCAAAUCUGGUUCUGCAGAAAAGGGAACUAGAGGAUCAUUUGUUUGAGAUAUAUGUAAAUCUCACCGAUUUUGCCAGGAUGCCACCUACCUAUCCUAAUAACAUGUAUACGUCCAAUACAGUGGGGAGGUGGGAGGUUGCAAGAUACCCUCUCCCACUCACAUCAUGAAUGGGGUGACCUGGUGCAGACACUGAUCUUAACCCAGAACAGCCACGUUUAUAGUGGUUGCACCAGCACUUA